CACAAACGGGGGGCGCCUGCCCUCGUGUUCAAGCUGGACUUCGCCAAGGCGUUCGACUCGGUCGACUGGGGGGCGCUACGCCGGAUCCUCAUGGCGCGCGACUUUCCCGACCGGUGGUGCGCCUGGAUGGACCUGAUCUUCGAGUCCUCGCGGUCGGCGGUGCUGCUGAACGGCGUGCCCGGGCGGUGGUUCACGAUGCGCCGGGGGCUGCGGCAAGGUGACCCAUGCUCGCCCUACCUCUUCCUCAUCGUCGCCGAUGUGCUGCAGCAGAUGAUC
rnacentral:rRNA from 1 species